rnacentral:rRNA from 1 species
UAGGGAAUAUUGGACAAUGGGGGCAACCCUGAUCCAGCCAUGCCGCGUGAGUGAAGAAGGCCCUCGGGUUGUAAAGCUCUUUUGUCCGGAAAGAAAGGCUUCGGGUUAAUACCCCGGGGUUCUGACGGUACCGGAAGAAUAAGCACCGGCUAACUUCGUGCCAGCAGCCGCGGUAAUACGAAGGGUGCAAGCGUUACUCGGAAUUACUGGGCGUAAAGCGUGCGUAGGUGGUUGUUUAAGUCUGAUGUGAAAGCCCUGGGCUCAACCUGGGAAUGGCAUUGGAAACUGGGCAGCUAGAGUGCGGUAGAGGGUAGUGGAAUUCCCGGUGUAGCAGUGAAAUGCGUAGAGAUCGGGAGGAACAUCUGUGGCGAAGGCGACUGCCUGGACCAGCACUGACACUGAGGCACGAAAGCGUGGGGAGCAAACA